GACGAACGCUGGCGGCGUGCCUAAUACAUGCAAGUCGAGCGAAGCGGCGGAAGGGUGAGUAACGCGUGGGUAACCUGCACUUAAGUCUGGGAUACCAUAUGGAAACAGAUGCUAAUACCGGAUACUAAAGGAUGGACCUGCGUUGCAUUAGCUAGUUGGUAAGGUAACGGCUUACCAAGGCGAUGAUGCAUAGCCGGGUGGAGAGACUGAUCGGCCACACUGGAACUAAGACACGGUCCAGACUCCUACGUGAGGCAGCAGUGGGGAAUAUUGCACAAUGGGCGCAAGCCUGAUGCAGCCAUGCCGCAUGUAUGAAGAAGGCCUUCGGGUUGUAAAGUACGUUCAGCGAGGAGGCGUUACUCGCAGAGGAAGCACCGGCUAACUCCGUGCCAGCCGCCGCGGUAAUUC
rnacentral:rRNA from 1 species